rnacentral:rRNA from 1 species
GUUGAGUUUUCGUGCGUGUUGGUGCCGUGAGCAUUCUCGUAAGCAUAAACCGGUUGAGGAUUAAACUCUUGUGCGGUUGUAUCAGCUUGACAUGGUGAUAGACCUGAAAUUAGGUUCCAUCGCCGAAGAAAAAUCGAAUCAGGAGGCUUGAGACCUGAGGCCGGCAUGGCUAAUCAAGAGGCACAAUUUUGGGCACGCAUGCAAGGCCAUGAACAGGUUUGAGACCUUGAGGCCGGCCGGCAUGGCUAAUCAAGUCGUCGUCGGAUACGACAAGCGAUUGACAGGCAGCUGGUAGCUAGUAUGGUGUCACGAGGCACGCACGCACUACCUUUCGUCCUUGCAAUCAGUGGUGCAUAUCUGUACCGGAUCCACCACCACCGUGCCCCCACUGACAUCACCGCGCACAACGCCGCACUAGCUACAUUUAGCUAGGUGCCACUCACUCUCUCACCUUGGCUAGUACUAUACUCUUAGCUCUAUAUAUAACCCGGUGGUUCGUCCAGAGUCUAGCUCCAUCCAUUAGCAUCCAUCUCCGGCCAGCAAACACAAACGAGCUUCUCUUUCUCCUCUUUCUUCAGGGUAAUUAUUUGGCCGGAGUCUGGGACGAAGCCGACGACGAAGACGAAGACGCCAGGAGGAGGAUCAUCGGUUCAUCACAUAGAUCGACCAGCCAUGUGUAACAACAGCGGUGGCCGCGGCGGGGCGAUGGCGGCUCGGAAGGGGCCGUGGACGGAGAACGAGGACGCCCAACUGGUAUGGUUCGUGCGCUUGCUCGGCGAACGCCGUUGGGAUUUCUUAGCUCAGGUCUCAGGUCUCCGGCGCACCGGCAAGAGCUGCCGCCUCCGCUGGGUCAACUACCUCCACCCGGGCCUCAAGCGCGGCCGCAUCACCGCCGACGAGGAGCGCCUCAUCCUCAGCCUCCACGCCGAGUGGGGCUCCCGCUGGUCCAGGAUCGCCAGGAAGCUCCCCGGCCGCACCGACAACGAGAUCAAGAACUACUGGAGGACGCACAUGAGGAAGAAGGCCCAGGAGGAGAAGAUGCUCGCCAAGAACAAGGCCUCCUCCUCGCCGUCCUCCUCCUCCGCCGACUCCACGUCGCUUACGACGACGACCUGCUCGGCCUCCCCAACGGCCACGUCCUCCUCGGCGGCGACCACCGAGGAGGCGCCGCAGGAAAGUACUACCAGCAUGGACGACGAGGCCGAGGAGGAGGCCGCCACGUCGGCGAGCGAGGAGAAGAAGGCGGAGGUGGUGCAGUACUGCUCCCCCGUGGACAUGGACCAGCUCUGGAACGACAUCGCCGCGUCGGAGAGGUACCCGGAGAUGAUGAUGAGCUGGGGCGUAGCCGGCCACGUGGUCAUGCCCGCCCCCGCCGUGGAGCCUUCGUCGCCGGUAUGGGAGUUCUGCGAGGAUUACUCCCUGUGGAGGAUCGACGACCAAGAGUACUACAACAAGAUCGAUCAACACGCUCUGAAUUGAGAGGCUUUCAUUACGUUUCUCUUGUUGUUCUUGUUCUUCCUAGCUAGCUAGCUUAAUUGCACUACUUUUGUAUUACUACUAUAUAUACUAAUUCGUGCAUGCAUGUAAUUAUAUGUAAAAGUUGAGUUGUGACAUUAUAUUAGUGACAGCUGUUUGUGCAUAUGUGUGUAAGUGACGACUUAUCAUACUUCUGGAGAAUCUGUGUUGCAAAAUGAACUUGUCAAAAUCAAAGAUAGUGGACACUAGAAAUUCUCCUCUGCUUAAUUAAUCG